GAUGAACGCUGGCGGCGUGCCUAACACAUGCAAGUCGAGCGAACCCUUCGGGGUGAGCGGCAGACGGGUGAGUAACGCGUGGGUAACCUGCCCUGUACACACGGAUAACAUACCGAAAGGUAUGCUAAUACGGGAUAACAUAUGAGAGUCGCAUGGCUUUUGUAUCAAAGCUCCGGCGGUACAGGAUGGACCCGCGUCUGAUUAGCUAGUUGGUAAGGUAACGGCUUACCAAGGCAACGAUCAGUAGCCGACCUGAGAGGGUGAUCGGCCACAUUGGAACUGAGACACGGUCCAAACUCCUACGGGAGGCAGCAGUGGGGAAUAUUGCACAAUGGGCGAAAGCCUGAUGCAGCAACGCCGCGUGAGCGAUGAAGGCCUUCGGGUCGUAAAGCUCUGUCCUCAAGGAAGAUAAUGACGGUACUUGAGGAGGAAGCCCCGGCUAACUACGUGCCAGCAGCCGCGGUAAUACGUAGGGGGCUAGCGUUAUCCGGAAUUACUGGGCGUAAAGGGUGCGUAGGCGGUCUUUCAAGCCAGAAGUGAAAGGCUACGGCUCAACCGUAGUAAGCUUUUGGAACUGUAGGACUUGAGUGCAGGAGAGGAGAGUGGAAUUCCUAGUGUAGCGGUGAAAUGCGUAGAUAUUAGGAGGAACACCAGUAGCGAAGGCGGCUCUCU
rnacentral:rRNA from 1 species